rnacentral:rRNA from 1 species
CCUACGGGGGGCUGCAGUGGGGAAUUUUGGACAAUGGGGGCAACCCUGAUCCAGCCAUGCCGCGUGCGGGAAGAAGGCCUUCGGGUUGUAAACCGCUUUUAUUUGGGAAGAAGGAGUAGGGGCUAAUACCCUCUAUGACGGACGGUACCGGAUGAAUAAGCACCGGCUAACUACGUGCCAGCAGCCGCGGUAAUACGUAGGGUGCGAGCGUUAAUCGGAAUUACUGGGCGUAAAGCGUGCGCAGGCGGUUCUGCAAGUCAGCUGUGAAAGCCCCGGGCUUAACCUGGGAACGGCGGUUGAAACUGCAGGACUAGAAUCUGGCAGAGGGGGGUGGAAUUCCACGUGUAGCAGUGAAAUGCGUAGAGAUGUGGAGGAACACCGAUGGCGAAGGCAGCCCCCUGGGCUAAGAUUGACGCUCAGGCACGAAAGCGUGGGGAGCAAACAGGAUUAGAUACCCCUGUAGUC